rnacentral:lncRNA from 1 species
AACCCAUAAAACACCCCAACACCCUCUAUUCUCUCUUCACAGCAGAGAACCCACCUCCACCUCAUUUCCCUCUUUCUCUCUCUAGAAAUCACUUCCAAGAGCUAGGAGAAGAAGGAGGAGAAAGCUUUAGAAGGGAUUUUUGGUGGAUUUGAAGGGUUUGGGCUCUCCUACAAGGUGAAAAUUGGAGAGCUGGUGGGCUAAGGUG